rnacentral:rRNA from 1 species
GUUAGGAAUAUUGGACAAUGGGCGCAAGCCUGAUCCAGCCAUGCCGCGUGAGUGAUGAAGGCCUUCGGGUUGUAAAGCUCUUUAGCCGAUGAUUAUAAUGACUGUAGUCGGAAAAUAAGCCCCGGCUAACUUCGUGCCAGCAGCCGCGGUAAUACGAAGGGGGCGAGCGUUAUUCGGAAUCACUGGGCGUAAAGCGUGCGUAGGCGGCUUUGCAAGUUGGGAGUGAAAGCCCAGGGCUCAACCCUGGAAUUGCUCUCAAAAGUGCAAGGCUUGAAUUCGGGAGAGGAUAGCGGAAUUGUCAGUGUAGCAGUGAAAUGCGUAGAUAUUGACAGGAACACCAGUGGCGUAAGCGGCUAUCUGGACCGAUAUUGACGCUGAGGCACGAAAGCGUGGGGAUCAAACAGGAUUAGAUACCCCUGUAGUCC